rnacentral:tRNA from 1 species
GCGGAAGUAGUUCAGUGGUAGAAUACAACCUUGCCAAGUUUGGGGUCGCGGGUUCGAAUCCCGUCUUCCGCUCCA